ensembl:rRNA 5S_rRNA 5S ribosomal RNA
AGUCUAGAUCAUACCACUUGAACGCGCCCGAUCUCAUCUGAUCUCAGAAGCUAAGCAGGAUCGAGCCUGGUUAGUACUUGGACGGGAGAAAUUUCAACUGCAGGUUAAGAAUA